rnacentral:rRNA from 1 species
AGUGAACGCUGGCGGUAGGCCUAACACAUGCAAGUCGAACGGCAGCACAGUAAGAGCUUGCUCUUACGGGUGGCGAGUGGCGGACGGGUGAGGAAUACAUCGGAAUCUACUUUUUCGUGGGGGAUAACGUAGGGAAACUUACGCUAAUACCGCAUACGACCUACGGGUGAAAGCAGGGGAUCUUCGGACCUUGCGCGAUUGAAUGAGCCGAUGUCGGAUUAGCUAGUUGGCGGGGUAAAGGCCCACCAAGGCGACGAUCCGUAGCUGGUCUGAGAGGAUGAUCAGCCACACUGUAACUGAGACACGGUCCAGACUCCUGCGGGAGGCAGCAGUGGGGAAUAUUGGACAAGGGGCGCGAGCCUGAUCCAGCCAUACCGCGUGGGUGAAGAAGGCCUUCGGGUUGUAAAGCCCUUUUGUUGGGAAAGAAAAGCAGCAGGUUAAGACCCCGCUGUUCUGACGGUACCCAGAGAAUAAGCACCGGCUAACUUCGUG